ACCGCGACCUGUCAAACUGGAGGGUGACAACCGCACCCGGAUCUGAGAAACCGCUCCUAAAACAUUAUCGUCAGGCAACAGAGCGCCAAUCACAGAGCAGGGCACUGGAUGCACGUUGUUUAAGAAGGGACAGAAAGUAGUUAAGUGAGGUAUUCGUGGGAAAAGUCACGCAGUCGCUCAGUAUCGCUAUAAGGACAGUUCUUCCAGCCCCGGCCGUUUCUUCCAACACGAUGUGCGGAAUCUUUGCAUAUUUGAACUACAGAGUCCCUCAAACACAGAAGGUGAUCUUGGAGACUUUAAUUAAAGGUUUGCAGAGACUCGAAUACAGAGGCUAUGAUUCAGCAGGAAUAGCAGUUGAUGAAAGCUGUAACAAAGAUCAAACAUUUGGCAGCCAUAUUUGUCUCUUCAGAAACAGAGGCAAAGUAAAGGCCCUGGCUGAAAAACUUGAUGAGCAAGUAUCUUUGGACAUCAACAAGGAAUUUGAAAUACAUUUUGGAAUUGCUCACACCCGCUGGGCAACACAUGGAGUUCCAAAUGAAGUGAACAGUCAUCCUCAUCGAUCUGAUAAAAACAAUGAAUUUGUUGUUGUUCAUAAUGGAAUUAUCACAAACUACAAAGAUUUAAGAAAAUUACUGGAAAGCAAAGAUUACGUUUUUGAAUCUGAGACAGAUACUGAGGUGAUUCCUAAACUAACAAAGUAUCUGUAUGACAACCGAGAAGAUGAAGACAUUGGAUUCUCUGCUGUGGUGGAAAGGGUUGUUCAACAACUGGAAGGAGCAUUUGCACUUGUUUUCAAGAGCAGACAUUUCCCAAAUGAAGCAGUUGCUACAAGGCGAGGGAGCCCUCUGCUGAUCGGUAUUCGCAGUAAGAAUAGGCUCUUCACUGACCAGAUUCCAAUCCUGUACCAAGCAUAUAACAAUAACAAAAAUGACCAUUUAUCCAAAACACACGAAAUUAAGCACAAAGAUUGUAAUGGCACUGGAGAGGAGAAAAGUGUUGAAUUUUAUUUUGCAUCUGAUGCUAGUGCAAUCAUUGAGCACACAAACCAAGUGAUGUUUCUGGAGGAUGAUGACAUUGCUGCAGUGGUGGAUGGUUGUCUCUCCAUUCACCGUGCUAAAAGAUCAGUGGGUGAUUUAGCAUCCAGAACUGUACAUACUCUGCAAAUGGAAUUGCAACAAAUCAUGAAAGGAAACUUCAAAGCAUUCAUGCAGAAAGAGAUUUUUGAACAACCAGAAUCUAUCGUCAAUACAUUGCGAGGGAGAGUAAAUUUUGAAGAUGGCACAGUAAUGCUGGGUGGAUUGAGAGACCACAUCAAAGAAAUAAAACGAUGCAGACGUUUGCUCUUGAUUGGGUGUGGAACGAGUUACCACGCUGGAGUUGCAACACGCCAAGCAUUGGAAGAACUAACUGAUCUCCCGGUGAUGGUUGAACUUGCUAGUGAUUUCUUGGACAGAAGUACACCAGUUUUCAGAGAUGAUGUCUGUUUCUUCAUUAGCCAGUCAGGUGAAACUGCUGAUUCUCUCAUGGCUCUUCGUUAUUGUAAGAAUCGUGGUGCCUUGACUGUUGGCAUUACCAACACAGUUGGAAGCUCAAUUUCUCGAGAAACUGAUUGUGGUAUACAUAUUAAUGCUGGACCUGAAAUUGGAGUGGCAAGCACAAAGGCCUAUACAAGCCAGUUUGUUUCCUUGAUUAUGUUUGGCCUCAUGAUGUCUGAGGAUCGUAUCUCAAUGCAGAAAAGGAGAAAGGACAUCAUUGCUGGACUUCAAUUUUUACCAGAUUUGAUCAAAGAAGUUCUGUCCUUGGAUGAAAAGAUUGAACAAUUGGCCAAAGAGAUGUUCCAGCACAAAUCACUCCUAGUCAUGGGCCGUGGCUAUCAUUAUGCUACUUGCCUUGAAGGAGCUUUAAAAAUCAAAGAAAUCACUUACAUGCAUUCUGAAGGGAUCCUGGCUGGAGAGUUGAAACAUGGCCCUUUAGCUUUAAUUGAUAAGCUGAUGCCUGUUAUAAUGAUUGUCAUGAGAGAUUCAAGCUACACGAAGUGUCAGAACGCAAUGCAACAGGUCACUGCACGACAGGGCCGUCCAAUAGUACUCUGUGUAAAGAAUGACGAGGAGAGCAAGAAAUUUGCUUACAGAUCUAUUGAAAUUCCACAUUCAGUUGACUGUUUACAGGGUAUUUUAACUGUAAUACCUCUUCAACUUCUGUCAUUCCACUUGGCUGUUCUUCGAGGAUAUGAUGUUGACUUUCCUCGAAACCUGGCCAAGUCAGUCACUGUUGAAUGAAGAUCUGAAUACCUUGCCCAUUGAAGUUUGAUGUCAGAUCAUCCUUCAAAAUUCUCUUUUGGUUAACAUUUCUUCUGGUGAAAUAUGAAGUUUAUAAUUUAUCUCACUGGGGUUUCAUCAAUUAGACUAUAUGCAUAUUUAAUGUAAAUCAAAUGAUAUAAUAUACUGUAACUGGGAUACUACUUUAAGUGCCUCUAUGGUAACUACAUCUUGUACUAUCUUGAUUUAAAAGUUUGGAAGAAGUUGAUGUUUACAGAAGCUGCAUAGAAUGGAUACAUGCAAAAGUGCAAUAUUAAUAGCUAAGAUAAUCAAAUAUAAUACCUUUUAAUUGUAGCCAUUUUUAAUAUUAUGCUUUUUAGAUUAUUUAUGAUUUUUACAAAGAAUCCCUCUCAAAUUUUAUGUUUGAAUAUGCCUGUACUUAUCAUGUUUACUGAAAUUGUAUUUUAUUAAUUUUAUAUAUAUCUAAGGGGAUUUGUUUUAAGUUUGAAUUAAGUAAAGAAGCAAGGAUGAAGUUUGUUUGCAGUCAUAUGUUCAUGUGCUUAUGAUCCACCUUAUAGCUAAUGUUAAAACAAUGAAGAUGUGAAUCGUAUAUAUGUAUUUUUUGUUUGGUAUUGGCUUACAAACAGAAUAAAUCAUUUAACUAUGA